CAUACGUCUACAAAUUCAAACAUCAGAGUGUUUUCUCCGUCUCUCUCAAUCAGUACCCCCACUAUGAAAUUUAUUGACUGAUUUUUAGUUUUGUGAUUUGUGUACUCUGUUGAAAUUUAAGUUAUGCAGUUAUGAAUACAAUUUGAUUCAUGAUCAUUUUUGAACACAUAUUUAUUCCUUUUUCUGAAGAUAUGAAAUGUAGAUAUGGACAGUCUCGAAACUGUUGUGUUUUCCAGCUACGCUGUUUUAUAAUAAUGAGCUAUAGUUGUACUCAUAGCGAGUUUGUCAGAUGGAGCCUGCUGUAUUGUUUUAUUUAUAUUCUACCAUUCAUUUCUCCCAUCGCGUGUACAUUAUCUCAUUACUCUCCAUGUAGACUGGGAAGGAGAACGGGAGAUUUUCGUCAUUUCUUCUAAUUUAAUCUAUACAGCAAUAAAACAAGUUUUAUACGGGAAGAAUCACACAUGUUUUGUGCAAAUAUAGAAUUGUCAUG
rnacentral:sRNA from 1 species